CUCUCCAGUUCACUUACCAUCCAGGAGAGGAGGCUGACACACAUCCAGAACCUUUUAGUCUGCUUUCCUCACUGGACAUUUUGUUUGGUGUUAUUGGCUUGACUUUAAAAUCCCUUGUGAACUUCCAUUAAUCUUGGAGGACACAAUCUAAUUGGUCAUUUGCCCCAUAAUUAAAUAAAGUACCUACAAGGAACCACAAUUAAGGAGCAGCUGAUUAGAAGUUCACGAGAGUUUUUAGUAUCAUUAUAGAUAUAUAUCACGUUUUAACACUCUUCACAGUGAGAUCAUCUUGUAGGAAAUUUGCUAAAGCAUUAUUCCACUGUGACUUGUACCCCUGAUGAAGUCCAUAAUGGACGAAACGCGUUGGGUUUUAUGAGAUAUAUAUAGCAUACACUGUUUCUGCAUAAAUGUGUAUUGUGCUUAUGGAACAACGUGUAUGACAAAUUUUAACGUGUAUUAAAAAUAAUCUUUCUAUCAUUCCGGUUAUGCUGGUUGGAUUUUACUUUGAGUAAUUAUUUCAAUUUUAAUUAUGCCAUUGUAUCUGUGCGCACUCUGAAUAUUUGUGUUAUAUUUUAUCUAUCGUCUCCCAC